rnacentral:sRNA from 1 species
GGUCGUCGCACUGCUCACGAUCGCUGUCCUCGAGUACAAUUCAAUGGUAAAGCUCCCUGAUGUUGUAGAUGGAUGCUCCCCCAACAGAGCCUCCUCAAAGGGCCACCUAGGUACAGGGGUUGAUUCCAAAACCCUCUCGCAAUAACUUUCCUGGCACUUUUCCCCCAGGCAUAUAUGGCCGUCGAUGUGGGUUGUUGUCGUUCCUCGGG